rnacentral:pre_miRNA from 1 species
AAUGGAAUUGCUGGGUCAUACAAUAAGUGCAUGUUUGACUUUGUAAGAAACUGCCAGAAUCUUUUCCAAAGUGGUUGUGCAAUUUUGCAUUUCCAUAAAUAGU